rnacentral:rRNA from 1 species
GGGUUGUGAGGUUAAGCGACUAAGCGUACACGGUGGAUGCCCUGGCAGUCAGAGGCGAUGAAGGGCGUGCUAAUCUGCGAUAAGCGCCGGUAAGGUGAUAUGAACCGUUAUAACCGGCGAUACCCGAAUGGGGAAACCCAGUGUGAUUCGUCACACUAUCAUUAACUGAAUUCAUAGGUUAAUGAGGCGAACCGGGGGAACUGAAACAUCUAAGUACCCCGAGGAAAAGAAAUCAACCGAGAUUCCCCCAGUAGCGGCGAGC